ACAGCAGUAGCCGCGGGAAUACAGAGGGUGCGAGCGUUAAUCGGAUUUACUGGGCGUAAAGCGUGCGUAGGCGGCUUCUUAAGUCGGAUGUGAAAUCCCUGAGCUUAAAUUAGGAAUUGCAUUCGAUACUGGGAAGCUAGAGUAUGGGAGAGGAUGGUAGAAUUCCAGGUGUAGCGGUGAAAUGCGUAGAGAUCUGGAGGAAUACCGAUGGCGAAGGCAGCCAUCUGGCCUAAUACUGACGCUGAGGUACGAAAGCAUGGGGAGCAAACAGGAUUAGAUACCCCGGUAGUCCCUGUCUCUUAUAC
rnacentral:rRNA from 1 species